AGGGCAAAUCUCCAAAAUAGCACAUUUCUAAGUUUAUAUCACAAAAAUAGCACUCAAAAAGUAAAAUGACCAAAAUAGCACAUUUCUAAGUUUAUCCUUUGAAAAUUUUACUCAAAAAGUAAAAUGACCAAAAUAGCACAUUUCUAAGUUUAUAUCACAAAAAUAGCACUCAAAAAGUAAAAUGACCAAAAUAGCACAUUUCUAAGUUUAUAUCACAAAAAUAGCACUCAAAAAGUAAAAUGACCAAAAUAGCACAUUUCUAAGUUUAUCCUUUGAAAAUUUUAAUUUUUUUAUUUUUCAAAAUUUGAAAUGUUAUCCCCAAAACCUCAUUUCUCAACUCUAAACCCUAAACCCUAAACUCUAAACCCUAAACCCUAAACUGUAAACCCUAAACUCUAAACCAUAAACCCUAAACCCUAAACUCUAAACCCUAAACCCUAAAAUCUAAACCCUAAACCCUAAACCCUAAACCCUAAAAUCUAAACCCUAAACUCUAAACCCUAAACCCUAAACUCUAAAUCCUAAACCCCACCCU
rnacentral:lncRNA from 1 species